GAAGUCAGGAGGUUCCACACUGGAAAUCCGGUGUUUUGUUGUUGCAGAGGGUCAAGGUAAAAUCCGAGGACAAAGUCAUUAGGUUUCUCUUAGGAAAAUAUUCUAUGUAUGCAUGGAAACUCUGUUCCGAAGAUUUGUAGAAAUAAGCCUUCUACAACAGCCCGAAUAAAGCCCUUAGUCAGGCUUUUGGUUCCCUCCUCGGUUGGGGAUUGGGACCAGGGAAAAGGCAAGCUCUAGGUAAAGAGAGUCUUCCACUCUUUGUGAGGACAGAGAGUCAUGGCCACGGUGUAAGAAGAGGGAUGAUUAAGAAGGAAAAAAAUAUAUUAUUAAAGAAGGAGUUAGGUCAAGAUAGUCCUCUCCCUCAGAUGACAAAAGCCAAUCUUGCCCUUGUGUCUUUUUGCCACGAAGUUGCUUUAAGUCAGUGUGCCUGCCUCAGACUAAGUGAUCCCCAAGGCCCUAUCCUAGUCAGGGUCAGCCAAGAGCAGUUAAUGCACUCACCUCUUCUGUUAGCCCUGAAUCCGAAGACUGUGCUCUGGGUGUAGGGUUCAGGAGCCUACAACCAAUGCAGAAUCACAUUCACCAACUUGAGGACAAUAGAGAAGUAAUGGUGCUCUCCGAGGGAUAUUGUCCACUGGUAAUCUGUUCCAGGGCUUGGAAAUCCGGGGGUGAUAUUCAAAUAGUUUGGGUAGCUGCCAACAGUCAGUCACUUGGACCAGUCCAGUGUCCAGUAGCCCUUCAGAAGCUUUUCAAAAUGCAGGCAUUGCCCCUUACAUGGUUAAAUUUUAUUUCAGAGGAAACGAAGAAGUGGGGAAAGGUAUGUGACUGUGGCAAGGUCGACAGUCCUGAAAGCAGCCGGUAGUAUCAACAUGGCGUCUGCUUCUCAGGAGGAAACAUAACCUUACAGGGGUUCUUGAUGGUCUGUUGCUCUCAGGGAAAUAGUGGAAUUUGUUGAGUUGUCUCUGAGAGGAGAGAGACUAGAAAGAAGGAGGGAAGCAAUUGUGCUGUAGUUGAUUGCAGUCUGAUCGAUGUUGGGCAAAUUGCAUCUGAGCACAAAGUAUUGUGUUUCAUUUUCCCUUUAAAUCAUUUCCACUUGAAAGUCAGAAUUAUCUGCAGUGUUAGAAUCAAAUCUCUGAGGCUGUGCCUUUGGGAGCCUUAGGGAAGAAGGAAAGAGAUGAAAGUGAUGCUUAGCCCCUCAGCUGGGACGCUGCCCCGUGCUCUCCAGUGAUACUCCAUUUACUUCUUUAGUUUUCUCUUCCUACCGUGAUGGACUGUAAUAUGAUUAUGUGAAGCUCAGGUAGGGAAAGUGAGAAUUUCAAGACAAGCCCUCAAUCCUUAAAGUUUUGACAGCAAAUAAUGGCCCGAUACAACCGUCAUUCCCUUUGGCUCUAGCCCUAGACCCUUGAUUUCUGGUGAUGAGACAGAGUAAUCCUUAUGGUCUUUAAAUUCUAUUUCACAUGAUUACUAUAUCCUCCUGAAGCUUGUAUCUGGAUCCAGAGACAUGAGAAAUUAUAAAAUGAAAAUAAACAGUCCAAAGCGAGCACCGGCUUCUCUGACCCGCAACCGUGACCCACGACACCACUGGGCUCCCCGUCGGCUACCAACUUCUUAUUCAACCCGAGAUCCUUAGAAAGCCUUUCCCUGGGCUCAGGGAAUUAGGAGACAGAUUUCUUAUUAUUGUGAGACUCAGUCUGAGUGAUGGGGACGAAAUUAGGUUUCUAAUCAAAAAGCAGAAUUUGUGACCCAAGAGAAGGAACCAGGAUAUGAGAACGAGACCUGUGUCUAAACCCUCUUCAGCCAGACACUCAUUAUAAGAAAUGUCACCAGUCAGUGCCCCAUCCCUGUUCCCAAGCUAUCGUGUUCUUCCUGGAGAGGACUCCCAAUAAACUGGGAGUUACAUUUUCCAUCUUGAAGGCAGCUACCAGUCACCUGUCACUUUCCUCUCUCCCUCGAUGUCAGCCCUAUCUCCUGUCCCAGUGCUUCCUGCUUCCUGGGAUUUCGUGCUCACAACCUCAUCCAGCAAGCUAUUAUUAGCUUCAAAGGGAACUGAGACUCUGUGCACUCAGCCCCUUGAUCUCAUCAAGGGCAGCUUUGUAGUUCUCUGAGUUGUGGAGUCUCUAGGCUGCGACCCAGAAGGGGGGAGGCAGGGCACAGAUGUUCCAGCGCAGGCCCCAGGGCCAGCCCCAGGCUGGUUACUUGUAAGGCAGUGUUGCGAUGUGCUCCUGGGAUACUCGACAGAUGUUUUUUGGAGCUGGUACCAGACUCUUCGUGGAGCCACGAAGCCAGCCUUCUGCCAAACCAUCCGUUUUCACCAUGAGAAAUGGGACGGCUGUUGCUUGUCUGGUGAAGGAUUUCUACCCUAAGCCUAUAAGCAUAAGACUCGAAUCGACCAAGAAAAUAGAAGAAUUUGACCGUGCUAUCGUCGUCUCUCCCAGUGGGAAGUACAGUGCUGUCAAGCUUGGUCGGUAUGAAGAUGCAGAGUCAGUGACCUGCUCCGUUGAACACAACAACGAAAUCGUGCGCUCCACUGACUUUGAACCAAAGAAAAUUUCUUCAGGUAACGUAAAACCGACAGAACCUCACAUCAUGGAGCAAACUUCAGACAGCCUCUCUGGGUCCAAAGUUCAUCACAGCUCACAGUUCACAGCCGGAAAGGUGAACACGCUGUCCCUCACGGUGCUGGGGCUCCGAAUGGUGUUUGCCAAGAGUCUGGCCAUCAAUUUUCUCUUGACUGCCAAGUUAUUUUUCCUUUAAGGCUGACCGGCAUGAGAAGACUCCAUUAUGAGACUCUCAUGUUAUGCCUUCACAAAAGCCUACAGAGGAGCUAUCUGCUAGGCUUCCAACUUCUCGGUGAUUCACGUUGAUCUAUCCCAGUCUUGCUGAAAUGGCUGUUACCCAAACCGGUUUUUCUUCGAAGGCAACAAACCCAGCUCAUUUUCCAGCCUGGUGGAAAGACAAAAGUCCUGGGGGGUAGGGGGGUAUGGUCCUAACUGCUCUAUAUGCCGCUUUAUAAAGAGAUAUAGGACUCGUUUUCUUUUUUAUUUCUACAACUGAUACUCUUUGAAAAAGGCCUUUUGUUCCUUUGACUUUCUUUGCCUUCAGAAGUAGAAAGUGGGAGCCAACAGAUUCCCAUCUCCAUGGUCCCUGAGGAAAAUAGACCCUGGGGGACAGAGAGCAGAUGCCCUUUACCUAACGUGACUGGCUCUGCUCAGCCCAGCACUAGGUUUGCCCUGAGCUGGCAUUCUCAGCCACAAAAGCACUUUCUGCUUUUCUUAGUACUUUACAAACAAAAUUACAUUGGACUUCUCAUGCAGCCAGUGGGGUUUCUAAAACCUCAGCCAAAUACACUCCAAGCUAUUAGCAAAGAUCAGAGUAAAAGACAAAGAAAAUGCACUUCUUUCUAUUAAUUGAUGUAACAAACGUGAAUUGCCUCCGUCUAAGUUCCAGGCACUGAGCCGAGCGUGCAAAGAUGAGUAAGACGUGGGCCUGCUUUCAAGCAGUGAACUGUGCAAGUGUUUCUGGAGGGAGGGAAGAGGAAUGAGACCCCUCGAUUUCAGCUGUAAAAAGAUGAUCUUUACCGGGUUUUGUCCACCAAUCUGUACACAGGGAAUUUGAGGGCAGGGGACAAUAAUUCUUGCCUGCCCCAUGUUGUUGAUGGUUUUCUGCCCUUCCCAGUGCUAUUCUCUGUUGCAUCCAUUAAAGUGCGUUGAGUGUG